UACGGGGGGGGGGGCAAGCGUUUGUUCGGAAUUACUGGGCGUAAAAGGGCUCGUAGGCGGCCAACUAAGUCAGACGUGAAAUCCCCUCGGCUUAACCGGGGGAACUGCGUCUGAUACUGGAUGGCUUGAGAUUGGGAGAGGGAUGCGGAAUUCCAGGUGUAGCGGUGAAAUGCGUAGAUAUCUGGAGGAACACCGGUGGCGAAGGCGGCAAUCCUGGACCAACACUGACACUGAGGAGCGGAAAGCCAGGGGAGCAAACGGGG
rnacentral:rRNA from 1 species